rnacentral:rRNA from 1 species
GACGAACGCUGGCGGCGUGCCUAAUACAUGCAAGUCGAGCGCAGGAAACUGACGGAACUCUUCGGAGGGAAGGCAGCGGAAUGAGCGGCGGACGGGUGAGUAACACGUAAGGAACCUGCCUCAAGGAUUGGGAUAACUCCGAGAAAUCGGAGCUAAUACCGGAUAGUUCAUCGGACCGCAUGGUCCGUUGAUGAAAGGCGCUCCGGCGUCACCUUGAGAUGGCCUUGCGGUGCAUUAGCUAGUUGGUGGGGUAACGGCCCACCAAGGCGACGAUGCAUAGGCGACCUGAGAGGGUGAUCGGCCACACUGGGACUGAGACACGGCCCAGACUCCUACGGGAGGCAGCAGUAGGGAAUCUUCCACAAUGGACGAAAGUCUGAUGGAGCAACGCCGCGUGAGUGAUGAAGGUUUUCGGAUCGUAAAACUCUGUUGUAAGGGAAGAACACGUACGAGAGGGAAUGCUCGUACCUUGACGGUACCUUACGAGAAAGCCACGGCUAACUACGUGCCAGCAGCCGCGGUAA